GGGAUUACAAGAUUCUUACUCACCUUAAUUCCUCACUUCAGAAAGAUUUUGUUGUCGGAUUUUGAGUAUCCUCAUUGUGGUGAGAGGAACUUAGUGCCAUUGUUCCAUUUUGAGAAAAGCAAAAGAUUGUAAGAACUGCUAUCAACAAGUUCCGUGCAGCUAUUCAGUUACAAUUUGAUUUCCAUCGGGCAAUUUACAAUCUUGGAAUUGUUCUGUUAAAGUAUUCACAAGCCUCCAAGAAAAUGCACCAAAAAGCGGU